GGAAGGAGUUACUGUGACAGCUCCGUGCUGGCGAGCCGAUCCACGUCCACCUCACUCCAGCGAAAACAUAACAUCGAUUCAAAAGGACAUGACAGGACAAGAUGAAGACACCGAACGCUCUGUGGGGUCCAUAGAAGGGUCAUGGGAAGCCCGGCCGGGGCACGUCGUCAACGACACGGAAGUGGUCUUGAAGCCCUCAAUUUCUGCGAAAUUUCAGCGGGCGGUUUGGUGCGUUCCUUACUUAUAUCAACUCAUCUGGAUGUCGGCCCUGGUUUGUCUGAUGGCUCCGUUUUUCCCGUCGCUUGCCACUUCAAGAGGCGUCAAAAUCUGGGAGUACGGCAUGGUGUUGUCGGCCUUCAAGCUAGCCAUUCUACCGGGAAGUUUGCUUGGUGAAAAAUUUAUUACAGGAACGUCACCCAGAGCGGCGUAUGUGACUUCUGUGACAAGCAUGAGCGUGUUCUGCCUCUUAUUUGGGGCUUGCUCGAAGCGGCGUCAGGAUUAGGAAACAUUUGCGGUCAGCUCGCUGGCGGUGUCGUCACUGAUUUGUGGAAAUUACCAACGUCCUACUACGCGUGCGGUAUAGGUCUCCUCUUAGCACUGCCAUUUAUAACGGAACCGCAUGAAGUCACUGAACGGAACAAUGUCGAAUCCCCUGCCUCAUCUAUUGACAGCAGCGACCAAGGGCGUCACGAAGUUCAAUUCAACGAAUGAAAACGUAGGAGCCGUAUUUACCUGUAAUUCAGGUGGGUAUUCUCUAGCGUCCUUGCUUGCAGGAUUCUUGGCAUCACACGAGAUGGAGACAACAACCAUAUUUGCGGGCUAUAUCCUGAGUGCCCUGGCAUUCUUGCUCGUAGGGCCUGCACCGUUUCUGCCAUUCCAACCGUAGGUGUCCAAGCAAAAUGCGUAAUAUUUGAUUAUAUUAAACACUUACAAAUUUUAUUUAAAUCAUAAACCACAAUGGUACUUCGAUAAAUAAAAGCGAAGAAAUACUAAUGCAAUAUUUAGAAUGCUAGUACUUUAUCAUUAUUUGAAAACUUUUUUUUAAUAUUUAGUGCUCUGUCGGAAUGACCACUUUAGCAGUCGCAUAUUCAAUAUAGUAUAUAACCGACUCUGUGGUGUCCGCAAAAGCGACUUUUAUCGGUUUUUAAACGAUAAAUUAAAGUAAUCUUUGAGAUAGGCAGGCACAGGUUAUUUUGUUGUGUAAAUGUAUUUAAUACUAGGGGUUUGUGGAUUAUCCUGGUGGUACUAACAACUUAAGCACUUGUUAAAUAAACGGCAGAAUGUAUCUUGCCACUAGCAUCACCUUUUCUCCUUUCUUGAACGUCUACUACGUAAUUAUGGGCAUGACGCAAUGAAACUCGAUACACGCCAACUUCUACAAAUUCGCUUAUCUAACCGCUCAUCCUCCUUUGAUAAAAAUAUUACAUAAAGUGUGGUCUGAAUUUUAAACUUCAAAGCAGAAUAUUCCAGAUUGCAAGUACUUGAUAUAAAGUAAUAACGAGGAUAAAGGAAUAAUAACGUAUUACUCUUCUCUUUUGGCCGGCCAAAACAACAAAUUAAUUACAACUCACAGCAACAGAUUAUUGACAAGAAUACACAGGGUAUUUACAUGAAACACUGCGAUAUAUUUAUGCAAAAAGGCGCGCCGUUUUGUGUUCACCAGAGUAAAGUUGUCUCCUAAGAUUCAAUCUGACAUACAUUUUCGGCGCUUGGUCUUGCCCCUUCUUUUUUCCUUUCUGUUCUUUCUUUUUUGCGCUGUUUUCACCGUGGACCCUAAAAAUACUUGCCCAAACAUAAAUUCUAGUAAGGUAAAUUGCCCAUUGUGGUAGAGGAGCCUGUACGACGGAAGCUUUAUUAAAUAGUACACGUGUGAGGACAACCUAUCGUAGGUAGCGCCUUACCUACUUUCUAUUCUAAGAUAACGGUUCUAAAUGUUUCAUCGCUAGACUACUGUGAUGCAUAGUUCCACGAGGCCCCAUAAGCGUAUAGUUCUCCGGCCAACAAAAAUAAGUGUAUGUAAAAAAUACAUGCAAUCAGAACUUUUAUUAAUAAUAAACUUUCUCUUCCUCACACUGCUUAUGAAAACACAAUGAAAAAAUUAAAAAAGUUUACAACUUCCAGUAACGCCAAUUUAGAGCGCAGUUUUUGAGGAGGAGGAGGAGAGGGUACUGAUGGGAGCGUAUGACCCUCUUCUUCAUCCGUACCCUCCCCUCCUCCCCUCCCCCUUUCAAGCGUGAAAUGCGCGUCGUCACGCGCCGUUUCAGCACGGUGCACUUUGGGACGUUACCCAUAAUACACCGCGCGUUUACGCCGACGCCAACUCCGACGGUGACGCCGCUCAAGCCGAAAACGGGCACCUAAGAGCUGUGCUCUAAAAAAAAAAAAAGAGUAAUAAUGUUAAAGUAAAACUUGAAUCUUCCGCAUAGGGUAAGAUUACAGCUUUGUUUUAUAUAUUUUAGAAGCGUGGCACUUAUCAGCGCUGGACAGUUGCUGAUGGGAAGCGGCAUGGCAUUUAUAUUUGUCGGAUUCUUCACACUCUCACUCAAAGAUGU